GGUGGAAGGGGCCAUGCGUGGGGGUCUGUAGGGUCAGAAGGACAUGGAGAGCUCGCCAUAAUCAAUGCAUGGUGGUCUUUGGGAUCAGUGGGACCAUGGGAGGGUGGAAGGGGUCAUGCAUGACUCUCAGUAGGGCCAGAAGGACAUGGAAGGCUCAGCAAAGUCCAUGUAUGGUGGGCUGUGGGAUCAGAUGGACCAUGUAGGGUGGAAGGGGUCAUGCGUGGGGGUCUGUAGGGUCAGAAGGACAUGGAGAGCUCGCCAUAGUCAAUGCAUGGUGGUCUUUGGGAUCAGAGGGACCAUGGAGGGGUGGAAGGGGUCAUGCGUGGGGGUCUGUAGGGCCAGAAGGACAUGGAGAGCUCGCCAUAAUCAAUGCAUGGUGGUCUUUGGGAUCAGUGGGACCAUGUAGGGUGGAAGGGGUCAUGCAUGACUCUCAGUAGGGCCAGAAGGACAUGGAAGGCUCAGCAAAGUCAAUGCAUGGUGGUCUUUGGGAUCAGAGGGACCAUGAAGGGUGGAAGGGGUCAUGCGUGGGGGUCUGUAGGGCCAGAAGGACAUGGGGAGGUCACCAAAGUCAAUGCAUGGUGGUCUUUGGGAUCAGAUGGACCAUGUAGGGUGGAAGGGGUCAUGCAUGGGGGUCUGUAGGGCCAGAAGGACAUGGGGGGCUCAUCAAAGUCCAUGUAUGGUGGGAUGUGGGAUCAGAGGGGCCAUGUAGGGUGGAAGGGGUCAUGCGUGGGGGUCUGUAGGGCCAGAAGGACAUGGAGAGCUCGCCAUAAUCAAUGCAUGGUGGUCUUUGGGAUCAGUGGGACCAUGGAGGGGUGGAAGGGGUCAUGCGUGGGGGUCUGUAGGGCGAGAAGGACAUGGAGAGCUCGCCAUAAUCAAUGCAUGGUGGUCUUUGGGAUCAGUG
ensembl:lncRNA